CUUUCUCCCUCUACCCCUUGGCUCCACUUUUCUUGGGCCUGACUUUACUUUGGGGCUGCUUUCUCCAAUGGUGGCUCCUGGUGACGUUAGCUUCACAACUGCUGCAGAAAGAACUUCUCUUUGCAAGAGUGACAGUAUGAGUUCUAGAAGCCCGUGGCCCUGGGCUCUGUAGCCUGGUUUUCCUUCCCGUUAGCCCCUUCCUCUGGGAUGAUGCGCCAAGGGAACAGAGCCGCCUGCUGUGGUGUAAGGCGAGGGGCCUAUGGAGAAGGUAAAUUGCAGGAUCACCUGAGUAACUCGAUGCUGAUGAGGAAAGCUUUGAGGCAAACACAACGUGGAUGAAACCAGGACGUUCUCUGAAAACCUGGCUUGUCUCCAGGCUGCUUGGCAUGACCGCGUCCUGUGUGGCUUUCCUCCACAGUGAAAAGUCCUAAGAACAAGUAUUCACCCUGAAACACAGUGGGAUCCCUCAUUUCUCACUGUCUGAGUGGCACUGUGUUCCUUCGUGCUUCCACUUCCUAAGAGGCCUUACUUUCUGAGUACACCUUGUAAUAGUCAGCCUGGAAUUUCCUUUAAUUCCCAUGGAAAUUAUUCUGGGCUUCCUGCCCCACUAGAAAUAGGUAUAGCCAUUUGGGAAGAUCCUUCUUCAAACAUUUAUUUCUGGAGGGAAGAUCCUUAGGAGCCCUGA